CCUACGGGAGGCAGCAGUGAGGAAUAUUGGUCAAUGGGCGCAAGCCUGACCCAGCAACGCCGCGUGAAGGAAGAUGGCCUUCGGGUUUUAAACUUCUUUUGUCAGGGAAGAGUAGAGGACGGUACCUGCCGAAUAAGCCACGGCUAACUACGUGCCAGCAGCCGCGGUAAUACGUAGGUGGCAAGCGUUGUCCGGAUUUACUGGGUGUAAAGGGCGUGUAGCCGGGUUGACAAGUCAGAUGUGAAAUCCUGCGGCUUAACCGUAGAAUUGCAUUUGAAACUGUUGAUCUUGAGUACUGUGGAGGCAGACGGAAUGCGUAGUGUAGCGGUGAAAUGCGUAGAUAUUAGGAGGAACACCAGUGGCGAAGGUGG
rnacentral:rRNA from 1 species